CGCUCUAUAACCCUUUGUGAACAUACCUAUAACUGUUGCUUCGGCGGGUAGGGUCUCCGCGACCCUCCCGGCCUCCCGCCUCCGGGCGGGUCGGCGCCCGCCGGAGGAUAACCAAACUCUGAUUUAACGACGUUUCUUCUGAGUGGUACAAGCAAAUAAUCAAAACUUUUAACAACGGAUCUCUUGGUUCUGGCAUCGAUGAAGAACGCAGCGAAAUGCGAUAAGUAAUGUGAAUUGCAGAAUUCAGUGAAUCAUCGAAUCUUUGAACGCACAUUGCGCCCGCCAGCAUUCUGGCGGGCAUGCCUGUUCGAGCGUCAUUUCAACCCUCAAGCUCUGCUUGGUGUUGGGGCCCUACAGCUGAUGUAGGCCCUCAAAGGUAGUGGCGGACCCUCCCGGAGCCUCCUUUGCGUAGUAACUUUACGUCUCGCACUGGGAUCCGGAGGGACUCUUGCCGUAAAACCCCCCAAUUUUCCAAAGGUUGACCUCGGAUCAGGUAGGAAUACCCGCUGAACUUAAGCAUAUCAAUAAGCGGAGGAA
rnacentral:rRNA from 1 species